UGGCCCCCGUUAAAUAAAAUUCCUGGUUCCGCCCCUGCAUCCACAAGAAGCGCAGCACGCACCACCAUCCCACAGCCACCGCACCACCGCAUUGGUCACUAAUGAAGAUGUCAAAGCAAGUCCUUAAAAAACUUGGAGAACGAUCCCUAGAUCUCUAAUGGUGACGCUGCUCCUCACAAGGUGUCAAUUAUCAAUUUGGAUAUUUACGAAUUUGGCACUACACCUAUAUUGAGGGGCUGAGAUUGGAAAUUGAAGGGAAGAUAAUGAAGAGUCCAAGUAUCAAUGAGUUCAUCUCUACAUUACUUCAGUGCAUUCGGAACAACAUCAAACUGUCCAACAAAACGAUGUUUGUGAUUCAAAAGCUGGUGCUGAUCUUCUUGACAUGAUUCUUUGCAAGUAGGGAAGCCUGAACCAAAACCUUCACCAACUUCAGAAAGUGGUACAUUUAUUCUCCAUACUUAAUCUGGUAAAAUUACAAGGGGCAUAGCCUCGCAAGGCUGUUGGUGCAGCUGCUGCCUCGCAGAGCAGCUGCUGCUGCUGCCUCGCAGGGCUGCUGCUGCUGCUGCCUCGCAGGGCUGCUGCUGCUGCUGCCUCGCACUAUAUGCCGACUUUGCUGCUGGUGUUCUGCUUCUGUGCUGCUCCUUAUCUGGUGUUCUGCUUCUGUGCAGCUCCUUAUCUGGUGUUCUGCUUCUGUGCUGCUCCUUAUGUGCUGCUGUUCUGCUAGUGUAAUAUUACAACAUUUAUUUUAUUUUAAUUUUUUAGACAAAAAUUGUAAUAUUACAACAUUUAUUUAUGAAAA